rnacentral:tRNA from 2 species
AAGGAUUUAAGUUAAACUAAACUAGUAACCUUCAAAGUUACCAAUACUGGCCCCCCCCUUUAAGCCUUA